UACACCUACGGGAGGCAGCAGUGAGGAAUAUUGGUCAAUGGGCGGGAGCCUGAACCAGCCAAGCCGCGUGAAGGAAGAAGGCGCCAAGCGUCGUAAACUUCUUUUGUCGGGGAACAAAGGGCGCCACGUGUGGCGUUGUGAGUGUACCCGAAGAAAAAGCAUCGGCUAACUCCGUGCCAGCAGCCGCGGUAAUACGGAGGAUGCGAGCGUUAUCCGGAUUUAUUGGGUUUAAAGGGUGCGUAGGCGGUUUGUCAAGUCAGCGGUAAACAUUACGGGCUCAACCCGUUCCCGCCGUUGAAACUGGG
rnacentral:rRNA from 1 species